GUCCACGCCGUAAACGUUGGGCACUAGGUGUGGGUCUAAACCAACGAGAUCCGUGCCGCAGCUAACGCAUUAAGUGCCCCGCCUGGGGAGUACGGCCGCAAGGCUAAAACUCAAAGGAAUUGACGGGGGCCCGCACAAGCGGCGGAGCAUGUUGCUUAAUUCGAGGCAACGCGAAGAACCUUACCUGGGUUUGACAUUCUGGGAAAAGCCGUAGAGAUACGGUGUCCGAAAGGGUCCAGAACAGGUGGUGCAUGGCUGUCGU
rnacentral:rRNA from 1 species